UACGUAGGGUGCGAGCGUUGUCCGGAAUUAUUGGGCGUAAAGAGCUCGUAGGCGGUCUGUCGCGUCUGCUGUGAAAUCCCGAGGCUCAACCUCGGGCCUGCAGUGGGUACGGGCAGACUAGAGUGCGGUAGGGGAGAUUGGAAUUCCUGGUGUAGCGGUGGAAUGCGCAGAUAUCAGGAGGAACACCGAUGGCGAAGGCAGAUCUCUGGGCCGUAACUGACGCUGAGGAGCGAAAGCGUGGGGAGCGAACAGG
rnacentral:rRNA from 1 species